rnacentral:rRNA from 1 species
UACGUAGGGUGCGAGCGUUAAUCGGAAUUACUGGGCGUAAAGCGUGCGCAGGCGGUUUUGUAAGCCAGAUGUGAAAGCCCCGGGCUCAACCUGGGAAUGGCAUUUGGGACUGCAAGGCUUGAGUGCGGCAGAGGAGACUGGAAUUCCUGGUGUAGCAGUGAAAUGCGUAGAUAUCAGGAGGAAUACCGAUGGCGAAGGCAGGUCUCUGGGCUGACACUGACGCUCAUGCACGAAAGCGUGGGGAGCAACAGG